CCAUGGCGACGCCGGGGGUGCCGGCGCGGCGCGCUGGGUGCAGGUAGGCUCCCGCGAGGGCCGCGGGCGGGCGGGGGCCGAGGCCACGAGGCGUGGCGUCCACACCGACGCGGGGAAGAUGGGCCCGAAAGGGACUCCCGCCCGCGGCCCGGCCUCCCAGCGCCUCCGUUGUUCCCCGGCGCCUGCCUUUCGGCGGCUCGCAGAUGCCUCCGGUCCCCACGGUGCCUCCGAAAAGCAGGUAUGUUGCUGCUGUGGCCAAUAAAUUGCUUGCUUUUCUACACGUUGUCUCUUCAUUGAAAUCUUUGCCUCAAGAAGACAAGAACCAAGGUGUCCUAGUUGCCUCGUCUUCCCGGUAACAGGUGAUUCCCAGGAAACUUUGAAGUGAAUAUACAUAUACAAGGGAGACCUCUGGAGUCAAUGCAAAGAAACCAUCCUCAGCUAGACAAGAACACAAUUUUUUAAUUGGGACAUAAUUGACAUAGAACAUCAUAUUAGUUUUAGUAUGAUUUGAUCUAUGUAUAUGUUGUGAAAUGAUUACCACAAUAAAUAUAGUUAACAUCCAUCA